CCCGUCCUAGCUCAAUUGGUAGAGCGCGUGGCUGUAGCCCGCGAGGUUCCUGGUUCGAGUCCGGGGGACGGGA
rnacentral:tRNA from 1 species